UGGGGAAUAUUGCACAAUGGGCGAAAGCCUGAUGCAGCAACGCCGCGUGAGCGAUGAAGGCCUUCGGGUCGUAAAGCUCUGUCCUCAAGGAAGAUAAUGACGGUACUUGAGGAGGAAGCCCCGGCUAACUACGUGCCAGCAGCCGCGGUAAUACGUAGGGGGCUAGCGUUAUCCGGAAUUACUGGGCGUAAAGGGUGCGUAGGUGGUUUCUUAAGUCAGAGGUGAAAGGCUACGGCUCAACCGUAGUAAGCCUUUGAAACUGAGAAACUGGAGUGCAGGAGAGGAGAGUAGAAUUCCUAGUGUAGCGGUGAAAUGCGUAGAUAUUAGGAGGAAUACCAGUUGCGAAGGCGGCUCUCUGGACUGUAACUGACACUGAGGCACGAAAGCGUGGGGAGCAAACA
rnacentral:rRNA from 1 species